AGGGUUUGAUCCUGGCUCAGGACGAACGCUGGCGGCGUGCCUAACACAUGCAAGUCGAACGAAUCUCCCUUUAUGAGAGCUUGCUCGAUUAAAGGAUUAAGAUUAGUGGCGAACGGGUGAGUAACGCGUGGGUAACCUGCCUUGGAGACCGGGAUAACUCUGAGAAAUUGGAGCUAAUACCGGAUAUAAUCUUAAAAACAAAAGUUUUUAAGAUGAAAAGCCCGCUGCUCCAAGAUGGGCCCGCGUCCGAUUAGCUAGUUGGUAAGGUAAUGGCUUACCAAGGCGACGAUCGGUAGCCGGCCUGAGAGGGUGUCCGGCCACACUGGGACUGAGACACGGCCCAGACUCCUACGGGAGGCAGCAGUGGGGAAUAUUGCGCAAUGAGCGAAAGCUUGACGCAGCAACGCCGCGUGGACGAUGAAGGCCUUCGGGUUGUAAAGUCCUGUCAGGAGGGACGAAGCCCGCCUUGGUGGGUGACGGUACCUCCAGAGGAAGCCCCGGCUAAUUACGUGCCAGCAGCCGCGGUAAUACGUAGGGGGCGAGCGUUGUCCGGAUUUAUUGGGCGUAAAGAGCACGUAGGCGGUUUGUCAGGUCAGGUGUGAAAACUUCGGGCUCAACCCGGAGCCUGCACUUGAAACCGAUAAACUAGAGUCUAGGAGAGGAGAGUGGAAUUCCCAGUGUAGCGGUGAAAUGCGCAGAUAUUGGGAAGAACACCGGUGGCGAAGGCGGCUCUCUGGACUGCGACUGACGCUGAGGUGCGAAAGCUAGGGGAGCAAACAGGAUUAGAUACCCUGGUAGUCCUAGCCGUAAACGAUGGGCACUAGGUGUAGGUGGUUAUCGACGCUGCCUGUGCCGGAGCUAACGCAUUAAGUGCCCCGCCUGGGGAGUACGGCCGCAAGGCUAAAACUCAAAGGAAUUGACGGGGGCCCGCACAAGCGGCGGAGCAUGUGGCUCAAUUCGACGCAACGCGAAGAACCUUACCAGGGCUUGACAUCAUAGUGACCGCCGAUAAAAGUCGGUUUACAUUGAUACGCUAUGACAGGUGGUGCAUGGUUGUCGUCAGCUCGUGUCGUGAGGUGUUGGGUUAAGUCCCGCAACGAGCGCAACCCUUGUCCUAUGUUGCCAGCGGUUAGGCCGGGGACUCAUAGGAGACCGCCUCGGUUAACGGGGAGGAAGGUGGGGAUGACGUCAAAUCAUCAUGCCCCUUACGCCCUGGGCUGCACACGUGCUACAAUGGCCGGAACAACGGGCUGCGACGGGGUAACCCCGAGCGAAUCCCUGAAAACCGGUCCCAGUUCGGAUUGAAGGCUGAAACUCGCCUUCAUGAAGCCGGAGUCGCUAGUAAUCGCGAAUCAGCACGUCGCGGUGAAUACGUUCCCGGGCCUUGUACACACCGCCCGUCACACCACCCGAGUUGUUUGCACCCGAAGUUGCUGGCCUAACCCCUGCUUGCAGGGGAGGGAGGUGCCGAAGGUGUGAGUGGUAAGGGGGGUGAAGUCGUAACAAGGUAGCCG
rnacentral:rRNA from 1 species